GACAGAGGGGGCAAGCGUUGCUCGGAAUUACUGGGCGUAAAGGGCGCGUAGGCGGGAUGGCAAGUCGGUCGUGAAAUCCCUCGGCUCAACUGAGGAGCGUCGAUCGAAACUGCCGUUCUUGAGGGAUGCAGAGGAGACUGGAAUUCCCGGUGUAGCGGUGAAAUGCGCAGAUAUCAGGAGGAACACCGGUGGCGAAGGCGGGUCUCUGGGCCGUAACUGACGCUGAGGAGCGAAAGCAUGGGGAGCGAACAGG
rnacentral:rRNA from 1 species